rnacentral:lncRNA from 1 species
GGAGAUUUUCAUAAUUGAGAGAGAGAGAGAGAGAGAGAAGAACACAAGAAAUAGUUGGAAAAUGGAAAGGGGGUAGAAUUAGGGUUUAGGAUAUUGUAUUUUAACUUAAUACUAAAAGGAGAUGGGGAUGGUCCAUACCAGUUUAUUUAAUUGUCAAACCCAGGAGACCCACCCUAAUCCUUGUAAAAGUGCUUUUGGGGAGUCAAUUCAGGUCUGGGCCAUCUAGCAGAGAAAAUUAUCAUUUCUAAUUAUUUCACAAGGACUAUAUCAGCAAUUUACUGCAAGUAUAUGCACCCAAUUUUAAUUUUGUAUAUACAAUUCCAAGACAAACAACAGUGGCAAAGGCCAUUCCGACCGUAAUUUUCUUUUAUUUUUUUUUAUUUUUUUCACAGAUGCAACCUGGAGUAAAAAGAACACUCUUAAGCUAUCAUGAUACAUGAGAACUAGUAUCAAACCCAUCACUGUCCUUCAAAAUAUGAACAUGGUUAUAAAAAAUCCAGUUGAUGCCCACCUUAUGAUGCAAGAAAAAAAAAUGCCUCAAAGCACUAAUUUUGAGACAUCUUUUGGAGGCAUGCUUCGCCUCAGUUGUGGGCACAUGCUUCAUGGCACCGCCUUAAGGUGUGUGAUCCUUAGUUUUCAAACUUAUUUCCUUUACUUUAGGUGUAAGACCUCCAAUUAUAUUCACAUACGCAAUAAAAAAUAAGAGGGAUACUAUGAUUAACAAAGGGGCAACCAAGUCAGCAGAGUAACCGGGGUCAGCCUGGUAGUAGGGGGUAGUCUGUUAUUUACCUUCAGUCAGUUUGUUUGUUAUCCUGAGGGGAGGGGAUACCGAGUCAGUUGAGUUAGAG